GGCGUCAUAUUUCUUACGUUUGAAUCCGGAUACCUCAAAUACAAGUGACUACAAUAAACUGGUAAAACCAAAGUAACAGCUGUAUUGUAGUAGAGAAGUAUCUUCCUUUAGCUAGCUAGCUAUCUCGUAGCAUUCACAACAACACAGCAACAUCUGACAGCCAAGCCAAUAAAGACGUCACCAUGAAACCUGCCAGGGGGUCCGCGAGGAAGUCGACCCAAGGCCCGGGGGGCAAGGGGAAGGCAGGGGCGAGGAAGGAGAACAUUCCCACCGCCUCCGAGAGUCCAAGUCCCAGCGCAGCAGCAGCCAAGCAGAAGCAGAAGAAGCAGCAG